GCAAGUCGAGCGGACCAAUGAAGAGCUUGCUCUUCGGCGGUUAGCGGCGGACGGGUGAGUAACACGUAGGCAACCUGCCUGUACGACUGGGAUAACUCCGGGAAACCGGAGCUAAUACCGGAUACUUCUUUCAGACCGCAUGGUCUGAAAGGGAAAGACCUUUGGUCACGUACAGAUGGGCCUGCGGCGCAUUAGCUAGUUGGUGGGGUAACGGCCUACCAAGGCGACGAUGCGUAGCCGACCUGAGAGGGUGAUCGGCCACACUGGGACUGAGACACGGCCCAGACUCCUACGGGAGGCAGCAGUAGGGAAUCUUCCGCAAUGGACGAAAGUCUGACGGAGCAACGCCGCGUGAACGAUGAAGGUUUUCGGAUCGUAAAGUUCUGUUGUUAGGGAAGAACCGCCGGGAUGACCUCCCGGUCUGACGGUACCUAACGAGAAAGCCCCGGCUAACUACGUGCCAGCAGCCGCGGUAAUACGUAGGGGGCAAGCGUUGUCCGGAAUUAUUGGGCGUAAAGCGCGCGCAGGCGGCUUCUUAAGUCAGGUGUGAAAGCCCACGGCUCACCCGUGGAGGGCCACUUGAAACUGGGAAGCUUGAGUGCAGGAGAGGAGAGCGGAAUUCCACGUGUAGCGGUGAAAUGCGUAGAGAUGUGGAGGAACACCCGUGGCGAAAGCGGCUCUCUGGCCUGUAACUGACGCUGAGCGCGAAAGCGUGGGGAGCGAACAGGAUUAGAUACCCUGGUAGUCCACGCCGUAAACGUUGAGUGCUAGGUGUUGGGGACUCCAUCCUCAGUUGCCGCAGCUAACGCAAUAAGCACUCCGCCUGGGGGAGUACGCCGCAGCUGAACUCAAAGGAAUUGACGGGACCCGCACAGCGGUGGACCAUGGUGGAUUUAAUCGAGCAACGC
rnacentral:rRNA from 1 species